UACAGAGGUGGCAAGCGUUGUUCGGAAUUACUGGGCGUAAAGGGCGCGUAGGCGGUUCGUUAAGUCCUGUGUGAAAUCCCCCGGCUCAACUGGGGAACUGCACAGGAAACUAGCGGGCUUGAGUUCGGGAGAGGGAAGCGGAAUUCCGGGUGUAGCGGUGAAAUGCGUAGAUAUUGGGAGGAACACCGGUGGCGAAGGCGGCUACCUGGACCGGUUCUGACGCUGAUGCGCGAAAGCGUGGGUAGCAAACAGG
rnacentral:rRNA from 1 species